rnacentral:rRNA from 1 species
CCUACGGGUGGCAGCAGUGGGGAAUAUUGCACAAUGGGGGAAACCCUGAUGCAGCGACGCCGCGUGAGUGAGGAAGUAUUUCGGUAUGUAAAGCUCUAUUAGUAGGGAAGAAAAUGACGGUACCUGACUAAGAAGCUCCGGCUAAAUACGGGACAGCAGCCGCGGUCAUACGUAGGGGGCAAGCGUUAUCCGGAUUUACUGGGGGUAAAGGGAGCGUAGACGGUUAAUCAAGUCAGAAGUGAAAACCCAGGGCUCAACCGUGGGACUGCUUUUGAAACUGAGUAGCUUGAGUGCAGGAGAGGAAAGCGGAAUGCCUGGUGUAGCGGUGAAAUGCGUAGAGAUUAGGAGGAACACCAGUGGCGAAGGCGACUUACUGGACUGUAACUGACGUUGAGGCUCGAAAGCGUGGGGAGCAAACAGGAUUAGAUACCCGGGUAGUC